rnacentral:lncRNA from 1 species
AUUGCGCAUGCGGGAAACCCACGCUGAGGGAAGAAUCAUGGGAAAGAGGUGAGCCUGUAAAGUUUUAGGAUCAAGGUUAAAGGCCCUUUUUUGCUCUCUUCUCUCUUGGACCUUCAGGCGACGGCUUGGGUAUCUUCCAAGCGAAUUUUCCUUUCUUUCCUGUUCUUUUUUUUUUUUGAGACGGAGUCUUGCUCUGUCGCCCAGGCUGGAGUGCAGUGGCGUGAUGUCGGCUCACUGCAAGCUCCGCCUCCCGGGUUCACGCCAUUCUCCUGCUUCAGCCUCCUGAGUAGCUGGGGCUACAGGCGCCCGCCACCACGCCCGGCUAAUUUUUUUGUAUUUUUUUUUUUAGUAGAGACGGGGUUCCACCGUGUUAGCCAGGAUGGUCUCGAUUUCCUGACCUCGUCAUCCUCCCGCCUUGGCCUCCCAAAGUGCUGGGAUUACAGGCUUGAGCCACCGCGCCCCGCUCUUUCGUGUUCCAAAGGCUUUUUAAAUAAACUUCCACUCCUGUCCUGGAUUCUGCUUUAUGGCCCUCAGUCGAAUUCUUUCUUCUGAGGAGGCAAGGACUGAAGUUGCUUCUGACCAGUACAGGUACGCCGCAGAUUGGGAAGGAGAAAGUCACUUGACUCACAGGCCAACUGCUAUGGACUGAAUUGUGUCUUCCCCUCAUUAAUAUGUUGAAACCCUAUCCUCCCUCCAAUGUGAUGGUAUUUGCAGAUGGGGCUUUUGGGAAGUAAUGAAGUUUAGAUGAGGCAUGAGGGCUGGAUGGAUAUGAUCAGAUGAGUGCCCAAAGAAGAGACACCAGAGAGCUAGCUUCUUCUUUCUCUUUCCACCUUUACACACUGAGAAAAGGCCAAGUGAGCACACACCAAGAAGGCAGCCAUCUGCAAACCCAAGGAGAGAGUCCUCACUAGACACCCUGCUGGUACCUUGAUCUUGGACUUCUAGCCUCCAGAACUGUGAGAAAUAAAUUCCUGUUGUUCAAGCUAGUAUUAAUACCUGGUGUUUUGUUAUGGCAGCCUAAGUGACUAAGACACCAACUUAAUUUACUUAGCCAGGGUCAAUCAGUGGUAGGGCCCAGGAUUCUGACCCAGU